AAAAUCAGGACUGGAGCUGAGGGUGGAGCUACACGGUGGCAUAACGUGUGGGGCAUCCCAAGGACUUGAGUGAUAACCAGGACAUUUUGUAACCACAUCUUAUCCAAGGCGGCUCCAUUCAUUCUGUGUGACUGCGGCUGCUGCAGGGGAAGCCAGGGGCUGCUGAGGAGCAGGAGGAGGAGGAGGAUGCUGGAGCUGUGUGUGCAUGGGAGAGCGUGGGCCCGGCGCUCCUCUCAGCGGGCCAACAAAAGGUAAGAAAAUGGUCCAGU
rnacentral:lncRNA from 1 species